rnacentral:rRNA from 1 species
AUCAUUAGUGAAUCUAGGGUGUCCAAUUUAACUUGGAGCCCGAACUCUCACUUUCUAACCCUGUGCAUCUGUUAUUGGUUAGUAGCUCUUCGGAGUGAACUCCAUUCACUUACAAACACAAAGUCUAUGAAUGUAUACAAAAUUAUAACAAAACAAAACUUUCAACAACGGAUCUCUUGGCUCUCGCAUCGAUGAAGAACGCAGCGAAAUGCGAUACGUAAUGUGAAUUGCAGAAUUCAGUGAAUCAUCGAAUCUUUGAACGCACCUUGCGCUCCUUGGUAUUCCGAGGAGCAUGCCUGUUUGAGUGUCAUGAAAUCUUCAACCCACCUCUUUCUUAGUGAAUCUGGUGGUGCUUGGUUUCUGAGCGCUGCUCUGCUUCGGCUUAGCUCGUUCGUAAUGCAUUAGCAUCCGCAACCGAACUUCGGAUUGACUUGGCGUAAUAGACUAUUCGCUGAGGAUUCUAGUCUCGUACUAGAGCCGGGUUGGGUUAAAGGAAGCUUCUAAUCCUAAAGUCUAUUUUUUGAUUAGAUCUCAAAUCAGGUAGGACUACCCGCUGAACUUAAGCAUAUCAAUAAGCGGAGGAAAAGAAACUAACAAGGAUUCCCCUAGUAGCGGCGAGCGAAGCGGGAAGAGCUCAAAUUUAUAAUCUGGCACCUUCGGUGUCCGAGUUGUAAUCUCUAGAAGUGUUUUCCGCGUUGGACCGCACACAAGUCU